rnacentral:rRNA from 1 species
UGACGGUACCUACAAAAGAAGCACCGGCUAACUAUGUGCCAGCAGCCGCGGUAAUACAUAGGGUGCAAGCGUUGUCCGGAAUUAUUGGGCGUAAAGAGCUCGUAGGUCGUUUGUUACGUCGGAUGUGAAAACCUGAGGCUCAACCUCAGGCCUGCAUUCGAUACGGGCAAACUAGAGUUUGGUAGGGGAGACUGGAAUUCCUGGUGUAGCGGUGGAAUGCGCAGAUAUCAGGAGGAACACCAAUGGCGAAGGCAGGUCUCUGGGCCAAUACUGACACUGAGGAGCGAAAGUCGGGGGAGCGAACAGGAUUAGAUACCCUGGUAGUCCAGACCGUAAACGGUGGGCACUAGUUGUGGGAACCUUCCACGGUUUCUGCGACGCAGCUAACGCAUUAAGUGCCCCGCCUGGGGGAGUACGGUCGCAAGAUUAAAACUCAAAGGAAUAGACGGGGCCCCGCACAAGCAGCGGAGCAUGCGGCUUAAUUCGACGCAACGCGUAGAACCUUACCAAGGCUUGACAUAUACAGGAAUAUGGGCAGAGAUGUCAUAGCCGCAAGGUCUGUAUACAGGUGGUUGCAUGGUUGUCGUCAGC